rnacentral:rRNA from 1 species
UUCCUACGGGAGGCAGCAGUCGGGAAUUUUGGGCAAUGGGCGAAAGCCUGACCCAGCAACGCCGCGUGAAGGAUGAAAUCCCUCGGAUGUAAACUUCGCAAGAACGGGAAGAAUAAGUCGGUGUUAACACCAUCGGCGAUGACGGUACUGUUUGUAAGCUCCGGCUAACUCCGUGCCAGCAGCCGCGGUAAUACGGGGGGAGCAAGCGUUGUUCGGAUUUACUGGGCGUAAAGGGCGCGUAGGCGGCCACCGCAAGUCGACUGUGAAAUCUCCGGGCUUAACCCGGAACGGUCAGCCGAUACUGCGGGGCUAGAGUGCAGAAGGGGCAACUGGAAUUCUCGGUGUAGCGGUGAAAUGCGUAGAUAUCGAGAGGAACACCUGCGGCGAAGGCGGGUUGCUGGGCUGACACUGACGCUGAGGCGCGAAAGCUAGGGGAGCGAACGGGAUUAGAUACCCCGGUAGUCCUAGCCUUAAACGAUGAAUGCUUGGUGUCUGGGGUUUUAUAGUCCCCGGGUGCCGUCGCUAACGCUUUAAGCAUUCCGCCUGGGGAGUACGGUCGCAAGACUGAAACUCAAAGGAAUUGACGGGGACCCGCACGAGCGGUGGAGCAUGUGGUUUAUUUCGACGCAACGCGAAGAACCUUACCUGGGCUAGAAUGCCUCUGACCGGCGUAGAGAUACGCCUUCCUGGGUAAAACCAGGCAGAGUGCAAGGUGCUGCAUGGCUGUCGUCAGCUCGUGUCGUGAGAUGUUGGGUUAAGUCCCGCAACGAGCGCAACCCUUAUCAAUAGUUGCCAGCGGUUCGGCCGGGCACUCUAUUGAGACUGCCGUUGACAAAACGGAGGAAGGUGGGGAUGACGUCAAGUCCUCAUGGCCUUUAUGUCCAGGGCUACACACGUGCUACAAUGGCGAGUACAAAGCGCUGCAAACCUGCAAAGGGGAGCCAAUCGCAAAAAGCUCGUCUCAGUUCGGAUUGGAGUCUGCAACUCGACUCCAUGAAGCUGGAAUCGCUAGUAGUCGCAGAUCAGCAUGCUGCGGUGAAUACGUUCCCGGGCCUUGUACA